rnacentral:rRNA from 1 species
UGACAGGUGGUGCAUGGUUGUCGUCAGCUCGUGUCGUGAGAUGUUGGGUUAAGUCCCGCAACGAGCGCAACCCUUAAGCUUAGUUGCCAUCAUUAAGUUGGGCACUCUAAGUUGACUGCCGGUGACAAACCGGAGGAAGGUGGGGAUGACGUCAAAUCAUCAUGCCCCUUAUGAUUUGGGCUACACACGUGCUACAAUGGACAAUACAAAGGGCAGCGAAACCGCGAGGUCAAGCAAAUCCCAUAAAGUUGUUCUCAGUUCGGAUUGUAGUCUGCAACUCGACUACAUGAAGCUGGAAUCGCUAGUAAUCGUAGAUCAGCAUGCUACGGUGAAUACGUUCCCGGGUCUUGUACACACCGCCCGUCACACCACGAGAGUUUGUAACACCCGAAGCCGGUGGAGUAACCUUUUAGGAGCUAGCCGUCGAAGGUGGGACAAAUGAUUGGGGUGAAGUCGUAACAAGGUAGCCGUAUCGGAAGGUGCGGCUGGAUCACCUCCUUU